AGAAUCAACGCUGGCGGCGUGCCUAACACAUGCAAGUCGAACGGGAAAGUGGAGCAAUCCAUGAGUAUAGUGGCGACCGGGUGAGUAACACGUGACUAACCUACCCUUGAGUGGGGGAUAACCUCGGGAAAACCGGGGCUAAUACCGCAUAACAUCUUCAGGAUGAGAAGCUGAGGAUCAAAGGAGCAAUUCGCUUUCGGAGGGGGUCGCGGCUGAUUAGCUAGUUGGCGGGUAACGCCCACAAGGCUUUGAUCGGUA
rnacentral:rRNA from 1 species